UUGGGGCGUCGCCAAGCGGUAAGGCACCAGGUUUUGAUCCUGGCAUGCGUAGGUUCGAAUCCUGCCGCCCCA
rnacentral:tRNA from 1 species